UGAGAUGUUCUCCAAGCCUUAGGCAUUAUCCACUGGGGCUGGGUACCCCACAGAGUGAAAAAUAAAAGCAAGAAACAAUCCUGGAGGAAGACAAGCUGUGCUCCGUAUCUAAAAAGAACUGUGGAUAACAGCCCAAGAUGGUAUUUUGAAGUGAGUAGACACCUGGAGAAUACAGUCUUCCUGCUACCGGGGUGAUGGAUAAACAUCUUCAAUCAAGACAUCCUGAGGAUCCUACGGGUUUAGAUGAAGCUGGCAUCUAUGUUCUUCUCUAGGAGACUCUCUGGUUGUGUUUGUUUGGAAGGCGACCUCGGUAAGCAUGGAGCUAGAUGUCAACUGACGAGACGCUUCUGAGAGGGACUCAAAACUGCCGACCUUGGGAAUUUGCUUGAGAAGAGAGAAAUUCUUGGCCACAGAGAGAGUGCUGAGAAGACAGGGGAGUGAAAAGAAUGUGUCAACAGAGUGAGCCAAGCCUGGGGGACAUGGCAGAGCACCACAAGAAACCAUUGCUCGGCAAAGGACUCCUCAGAUGAGAGCGUACAAAAUAUGAUCAUCCCUCAUCACCAGGGGUAGCCCUAGGAUCCUUGCCCAGGGUACCACAAUCUUAGAGUGCUCAAGUCCCUUAUAUAAACAGCAAAAUGAAUUAGG
rnacentral:lncRNA from 1 species